GAUGAACGCUGGCGGCGUGCCUAAUACAUGCAAGUCGAGCGAACAGACGAGGAGCUUGCUCCUCUGACGUUAGCGGCGGACGGGUGAGUAACACGAGGAUAACCUACCUAUAAGACUGGGAUAACUUCGGGACACCGGAGCUAAUACCGGAUAAUAUAUUGAACCGCAUGGUUCAAUAGUGAAAGACGGUUUUGCUGUCACUUCUAGAUGGAUCCGCGCCGCAUUAGCUAGUUGGUAAGGUAACGGCUUACCAAGGCAACGAUGCGUAGCCGACCUGAGAGGGUGAUCGGCCACACUGGAACUGAGACACGGUCCAGACUCCUACGGGAGGCAGCAGUAGGGAAUCUUCCGCAAUGGGCGAAAGCCUGACGGAGCAACGCCGCGUGAGUGAUGAAGGUCUUCGGAUCGUAAAACUCUGUUAUUAGGGAAGAACAAAUGUGUAAGUAACUAUGCACGUCUUGACGGUACCUAAUCAGAAAGCCACGGCUAACUACGUG
rnacentral:rRNA from 1 species